rnacentral:ncRNA from 1 species
AUGGGACACUAGGGGUGCGAGGGGCAGGCCCGCCGUCGGCUGGUCCGGCGGCGGUUUCCUCCCCGAGCUGAGAUCACACCCUCACUACCGGACCAGGUUAGCACCUGCGUCGGGAAGUGGCCCUGUGGCUUC